UGGGGAAUAUUGCACAAUGGGCGGAAGCCUGAUGCAGCAACGCCGCGUGCGGGAUGACGGCCUUCGGGUUGUAAACCGCUUUCGCCUGUGACGAAGCGUGAGUGACGGUAAUGGGUAAAGAAGCACCGGCUAACUACGUGCCAGCAGCCGCGGUGAUACGUAGGGUGCGAGCGUUGUCCGGAUUUAUUGGGCGUAAAGGGCUCGUAGGUGGUUGAUCGCGUCGGAGGUGUAAUCUUGGGGCUUAACCCUGAGCGUGCUUUCGAUACGGGUUGACUUGAGGAAGGUAGGGGAGAAUGGAAUUCCUGGUGGAGCGGUGGAAUGCGCAGAUAUCAGGAGGAACACCAGUGGCGAAGGCGGUUCUCUGGGCCUUUCCUGACGCUGAGGAGCGAAAGCGUGGGGAGCGAACA
rnacentral:rRNA from 1 species